AUGGCAGAAUGCUUCAAUAAGGUGCUCAAGGGUGUACGUGCAUUACCCGUGACGGCAAUAGUUUAAUACACAUUUGACAAGUUGAAUGAAUACUUUUUAAAGCACUCAAUGGAGACUGAUAAGAAGAUUGCUGGUGAGAACAAGGAUAAGCACAAGUACAAUUUCCCACCAAAGGUCGAAGAAUGGUUGGAAUUUCAAUCACGAAAGGCAGACUCCGAAGAAGCUGUACUAUAUGACGACAACGAGUGGAAGUAUGAGGUGAAAGAGCCCGGAGGAACCACAAACGAUGGCCUCCAACACGGAGGCCGGGCUUUCAAGGUCUCCCUAACACGGUGUGAUUGCAGCUGCAUGAGGCCGUCUUUGCUUCAUCUCGCAUGCUCGCACUUGUUAAAUGCAUCCCGGGUUAGGAAUGUGGACGUCAAUCACCCUCUUACCGUGAGGGAGUCCGAGUUCUCAAUCAUGACGGUAAAGAAUACAUGGACUCCACGGUUCCAGCCAUACUUGGACCAAUCACAAUGGCCGGAGUAUCAUGGAGUUCAACUAUGGCCGGACCCG
rnacentral:rRNA from 1 species